UAUAAAUCAAAUCCAAAAGUUCUCUCAAUUAUGAACUUCACAAAGUUUCUAGUAGCAUUAUUUCUCAUUGUGAUUUUUGUAGCAAAUGCUGAAGGUACAGGUGAGGUGAAACUAUCUUGUGAAACAAAAUGUCAACUUUUAUGUAUUAUCAAUCCUUUUUGCAUCGAAGAUUGUCUGAAGAAAUGUCAUCAUUAUAUUUCUACUAAAAAAGCUCAACUGAACAUUGAUCUCAAUUUAAAUAAGAUGAUAAGUUGAUGGGAAACUGCUUGAAGAAUGUGCAACAAAAUUUGACAAUGACAUGUCGUUUAAUGCUUUUAUUCUUUAGUCUACUAUAAACUAUCAAAAACAAGCUUGGAAAAAAUCUUACAUUGAUGGUACUCCAAUUGUAAUCAAGAUUUAUGCUUUUAAUAAAGUAAUAUGUUUGUGAAAUU